AACGAACGCUGGCGGUAUGCUUAACACAUGCAAGUCGAACGAAUUUGUUGGAGCUUGCUCCAACAAGUUAGUGGCAAACGGGUGAGUAACGCGUGGGAAUCUACCCAUCAGUACGGAAUAACAUUUGGAAACAAUGCUAAUACCGUAUAUUCUCUAGCGAGGAAAGAUUUAUCGCUGAUGGAUGAGCCCGCGUCAGAUUAGGUAGUUGGUAGGGUAAUGGCCUACCAAGCCGACGAUCUGUAGCUGGUCUGAGAGGAUGAUCAGCCACACUGGGACUGAGACACGGCCCAGACUCCUACGGGAGGCAGCAGUGGGGAAUAUUGGACAAUGGGCGAAAGCCUGAUCCAGCAAUACCGCGUGAGUGAUGAAGGCCUUAGGGUUGUAAAGCUCUUUUAGUAGGGAAGAUAAUGACGGUACCUACAGAAAAAGCCCCGGCUAACUCCGUAGCCAGCAGCCGCU
rnacentral:rRNA from 1 species